AGGACGAACGCUGGCGGCGUGCUUAACACAUGCAAGUCGAGCGCCCGUAGCAAUACGGGAGCGGCAGACGGGAUAGUAACACGUGGGAACGCGCCCUUCGGUUCGGAAUAACUCAGGGAAACUUGAGCUAAUACCGGAUACGCCCUUACGGGGAAAGAUUUAUUGCCGAAGGAACGGCCCGCGUCCGAUUAGCUAGUUGGUGAGGUAAUGGCUCACCAAGGCGACGAUCGGUAGCUGGUCUGAGAGGAUGACCAGCAUCACUGGGACUGAGACACGGCCCAGACUCCUACGGGAGGCAGCAGUGGGGAAUAUUGGACAAUGGGCGCAAGCCUGAUCCAGCCAUGCCGCGUGGAUGAUGAAGGCCUUAGGGUUGUAAAGUCCUUUUAACGGGGAGAUAAUGACGGUACCCGUAGAAUAAGCCCCGGCUAACUUCGUGCCAGCAGCCGC
rnacentral:rRNA from 1 species